rnacentral:sRNA from 1 species
UGAAAAAAGUUAAAAAUAGUACAAGAAAUUUUCCAUAAUUCCUGGCCAGAAAUAAGUUAUUAGUACAAACAAAAAUGUAUCAAAAGUGUGAUAAUCGUGUUGCGGAAGCUGAGAAGCGGAAGCAGAUUGGCACAGUGGCCGAGGGUCCCACGUAGUAUUUCUCCACGUUCAUCGACGUUUGGAAACAAAGAAACCAGUCCCCCAGUGGAAAAAUCAGGCGAAUUAGUCAUCGAUUUUGCUCGUCAGCGUCGAGGAGUUUCACAAUGUGAAAAAGGCAGUUUUGCAGUCUCUCGAGGUUGGCUAGGCAGAUCCAGGAUGUCCAGGACCACGACAAUCUCCCCCCUAAGUCGCAUGGCGAUGGCCCUGACCUACGGUGUUCGAGGAUUUGAAGUGUUGGGAUAGGAAGGAAGCCAGGUACACACAGCAGCGAGUCCAGCCAGAUAUUUUUUUUUCACUGCAUCACUAAAUUCUUGGGCGUUGAAUGUUGAUACGCGAACGCGUACACGCGAUCGAUCUCAAGUACCCUGCGCGAGCAUGGCAUAUGGCAAUGUGGGUGGCUACAAUGCACCUAGCCAGCCGUCUAUGCAGCGUUUGGUGAAAGUUGUGCCCACGACCGUGACAGCGAUAUAUAUAAUGUAAAAAUAUAUUUCGAUGGUCGUGGGUUGCAUAUCGACCCAGGGUCCCUCGAAUAAGUGGGAUUGAUUUUGCGGAUUGUGUUAUAUAGGAACACUGCUGUAUCGACUUCUCUGCUCCACUAAGGGUGAACCGUAAUGUCAUCGAUCGAGUACUAAUAGCGGGCAGACAAUCAUAUCUCUAUGAUCCAACUACAAUCGGUCUCGACCUUGGCAGCCUAUUGAUCCUAUUCAGUCACAGCGUCUCUGGAGUAGUCGCAAGCGUCAAAACCAAACUAGAAUUGUAUUAGUUGGUUUCUAUAAACUUAUUAACUCUAUUCUAAAUAUUCUGUUGUAAAAUGAAAUAUGGAAUUUAUUUCCUCACCAACAAAGUGUUCAUAUCUUUAAA